CUCCUCCAGGGUCCUUGCCCAUCUGACCCGCCCCUGGGCUGACUGGUUAUAAAAGGAGGAAAAGCAAAACUAAAAUGGACUCGAGUGCGCUUGUGACGCGUAGGCUGGUUUCAAACAAGC
rnacentral:snoRNA from 1 species